UCCAUCACUCACCUCCCCACUUAGUCCUUUGCUUUCUGGCUUUGGAAAAGGAGGGCUUGUGUGUCACUCCUUCACAGCCAGUUCUGACUUUGGCGUGCAACUUGGCAUAGAGGCAGCUUUAUCUGGGCCCACUCAGAUGGACUGGGCUGUGUGAUCUGAAGUGGAAGCUUGCUGACAUUCUGGAGUGGGUGAGGCCAAGCUGGACUGACUCCCCCCUGUGGCAGGUGCAGUGCGGGCUGGGUGGAUGAGUAGUCAGGGUAGAGUGAAGAAAUGAGGAGUGAAUACUCUCCCCACUAACCCACUCCAGGCGGCUCCCACUGAUUGUGGAAAACACCUCACUGAACGUCAUCCCUAAAGAAUAUAAGAUAUAUUCCUAGAAGGUGAGACAAGCAGCAAGGUCUCUCCAUCAGCCUGAGAAGGACUAAGUAACUUCUGAAGCUUCCCCUUUGGGGGAAAAAAACCCUUUAUAAUUUUUGUUUGUAUUUUUGUGAAGCUUGUAAGCCCUUUUGGGACAGGAUUAUUAAAUAUGAAAAAUGUUGUAAGCCACUCUGAACCUGUUGGAAAGAGCAGGAUAUAAAUCUAACAAAUACACAAAUAGGUCUGCAUGGUACCUUUUGGUCAAAACCUCGGUUUGUAUUAUUUCACUGCUGCUGUCUUCCAGAAAAACUAUAUAGUUAUGUGUAUGUGUAGACCUUUAAACAAUA